GAGCAGGUGCUGGUAUGUAAGAGGCUUGAAAUUGGCAUGGUGAAUCUAAAACAAGUCUCAGCAGUGGUUAGCUGACCUCACCCAGGUUCUGAGCCCUACUCUGCCUGAUAACUUUUUUCUUAAGCCUCAGAGCUGAAAUGUUCCUGAGUUCUUUCCUAUUGGCUGGGAAGACCAAUUGAAGUUCCCUUGCCCAUGUUAGGAGGUGUACGCCUCCUGAACUAAAGAUAGAAACAGCUGGCCCUUCCAGGCAGCUAAAAGCCUCCAGACUAAGAGGUGUUCCCCACUCGGCAGCCAGACUCCUUGAAAUACCCUUUCAGUAAUUUUACCAACGCCUCCAUGUCUCUACUCUGCCAUAACAAAGGCUGUGGGCAGCAUUUUGACCCCCAAACCAACCUUCCUGAUUCCUGUUGCCAUCACCCUGGGGUCCCAAUCUUCCAUGACGCACUUAAGGGUUGGUCCUGCUGCCGGAAGCGAACUGUAGAUUUCUCUGAGUUCCUAAACAUCAAGGGCUGUACUGUGGGACCACACUGUGCUGAGAAGCUCCCUGAGGUCCCUCAACCUGAGGGCCCUGGUACAAGCAGUUCACUUCAGGAGCAAAGACCUCCGAAUGUGAUUCCAAAGUCAGCAGAGACUUUGCGUCGGGAGAGGCCCAAGUCAGAGUUGCCUCCAAAGUUGCUUCCACUAAAUAUAUCCCAAGCCCUGGAAAUGGCACUGGAACAGAAGGAAUUAGACCAAGAACCUGGAGCAGGAGUUGACAGUAGCCUGAUCCGGAUUGGAGCCAGCUGCCAGAACCCAGGAUGUGAUGCUGUAUACCAAGGCCUAGAGAGUGAUGCUACUCCAUGUACCUACCACCCUGGAGCACCUCAAUUCCAUGAGGGGGUGAAAUCUUGGAGCUGUUGUGGCAUCCAGACCCUGGAUUUUGGGGCGUUCCUGGCACAGCCAGGAUGCAGAGUUGGUAGACAUGAUUGGGGAAAGCAGCUGCCAGCAUCUUGCCGUCAUGAUUGGCAUCAGACAGAUUCCUUAGUAGUGGUGACUGUAUAUGGCCAGAUUCCACUUCCUGCAUUCAACUGGGUGAAGGCCAGUCAAACUGAGCUUCAUGUCCACAUUGUCUUUGAUGGUAACCGUGUGUUCCAAGCACAGAUGAAGCUCUGGGGGGGGACCAGCAACUACUCAGAAUUCCUGGAGAGGAUGGAGCCCAGUAUCCAUGCCAUGUCUUCACCAUUGUUCAGCAGUCAUAAAGUUUGAAGGGAGUGGAACUGAUCUCACUCCCAGCUUCAAGAGUGGGUGCACCACCGUGUAACACGAUCAAAUAUGGUGUAGCUGAUGUGAAGAGUUCAAGUGCUGCAGCCCUUUUGCUACCAAGAACAGAGUCAAAUUUACAAUGGAGCUCACACUUGGGACGACUGAACUGACAGAUGGUAGGAAAUUAGGCCCUUGGUGAUAUUGUUGAUCCACAGAAGCAAACCAAUUUCCAAGCCCACUCAUCCCCUGGAAUUUGGAACCAAUAGAUCCUCUUUAUUGUUUAAGACUACUGGAGUUGAGUUUUCUGUUACUUACAAAUAAAAAAGCAUAUAAACUUUA